AUUGAACGCUGGCGGCAAGCCUAACACAUGCAAGUCGAACGAGUGGCGGACGGGUGAGUAAUGUCUGGGAAACUGCCUGAUGGAGGGGGAUAACUACUGGAAACGGUAGCUAAUACCGCAUACCAUCGGAUGUGCCCAGAUGGGAUUAGCUAGUGGGUGGGGUAAAGGCUCACCGAGGCGACGAGCCCUAGCUGGUCUGAGAGGGUGACCGGCCACACUGGAACUGAGACACGGCCCAGACUCCUACGGGAGGCAGCAGUGGGGAAUAUUGCACAAUGGGCGCAAGCCUGAUGCAGCCAUGCCGCGUGUAUGAAGAAGGUCUUCGGGUUGUAAAGUACUUUCAUCGGGGAGGCGUUACCCGCACAAAAAGCACCGGCUAACUCCGUGCCAGCAGCCGCGGUAAUAC
rnacentral:rRNA from 1 species